AGUUCGAUCAUAGCUCCAGAUUGAACGCUGGCGGGAUACUACAUGCAGUCAGACGGCAGCACGGACUUCGGUCUGGUGGCGAGUGGCGAACGGGUGAGUAAUGUAUCGGAACGUGCCUAGUAGCGGGGGAUAACUACGCAGCGUGUCGUGCAUACGCCCUUCGGGGAAAGCGGGGGGACCUUCGGGCCUCGCACUGGCCGAGCGGCCGAUCGGAUUGGCUAGUUGGUGGGGGUAACGGCUCACCAAGGCGACGAUCGUAGCUGGUUUGAGAGGACGACCAGCCACACUGGGACUGAGACACGGCCCAGACUCCUACGGGAGGCAGCAGUGGGGAAUUUUGGACAAUGGGGAAACCCUGAUCCAGCCAUCCCGCGUGUGCGAUGAAGGCCUUCGGGUUGUAAAGCACUUUUGGCGGAAGAAACGGCCUGGAUAAUACCCCGUGCAACUGACAACCUGCAGAAUAAAAGCCACCGGCUAACUACGUGCCAGCAGCCGCGGUAAUACGUAGGGUGCAAGCGUUAAUCGGAAUUACUGGGCGUAAAGCGUGCGCAGGCGGUUCGGAAGAAGAGAUCGUGAAAUCCCAGAGCAACACGGAACUGCAUUUUUAACUGCCGAGCUGAGGAGGUGGAAUUCACGAUGUAGCAGUGAAAUGCGUAGAUAUGCGGAGGAACACCGAUGGCGAAGGCAGCCUCCUGGGAUAACACUGACGCUCAUGCACGAAAAGCGUGGGAGCAAACAGGAUUAGAUACCUGGUAGUCCGCCCUAAACGAUGUCAACUAGCUGUUGGGGCCUUCCGGGCCUUGGUAUGCCAGCUAGCAGCACGUGAAGUUGACCGCCUGGGGAGUACGGUCGCAAGAUUAAAACUCAAAGGAAUUGACGGGGACCCGCACAAGCGGUGGAUGAUGGAUUAAUUCGAUGCAACGCGAAAAGCCUUACCUACCCUUGACAUGUCUGGAAUCCCGAAGAGAUUUGGGAGUGCUCGCAAGAGAACCGGAACACAGGUGCUGCAUAGCUGUCGUCGGCCGUACCGUGAGAUUGGGUUAAGUCCCGCAACAGGCGCAACCCUUAUCGGUAGUUGCUACGAAAAGGGCACUCUAAUGAGACUGCCAGUGACAAACCGGAGGAAGGUGGGGAUGACGUCAAGUCCUCAUGGCCCUUAUGGGUAGGGCUUACGUCAUACAAUGGUCGGGACCAGAGGGUCGCCAACCCGCGAGGAAUAAUCCCGAGAAACCCGAUCGUAGUCCGGAUCGCAGUCUGCAACUCGACUGCGUGAAGUCGGAAUCGCUAGUAAUCGCGGAUCAGCAUGUCGCGGUGAAUACGUUCCCGGGUCUUGUACACACCGCCCGUCACCAGAGUAAAUUGGGUUUUACCAAGUAAGUUAGCCUAACCGUAAGGAGGGCGAUUACCACGGUAGGAUUCAUGACUGGGAGUGAAGUCGUAACAAGGUAACUCUCA
rnacentral:rRNA from 1 species